rnacentral:lncRNA from 1 species
AUGACACAAAUCUUAAAUAUGUAUAUUUAUUUUACAGUUGCAAACAAACAGACCCCCAUCACUGCCACAAAUCCCACUCUCUCCACCCUCAGUUCAGCAGAGAAGCCUUAUUUUACCACCAUGGGAAAAACAAUGGACACGUCUACGACUCUCGGACAGACCACCUUUACAACGACACACACAGUUGCCACAACAGCAGAAACUUCCCAGAACACAACUCUGAGGACCACAACAAAGGAGGAGGAGCCUAUGACCACAACCGAUAGUGUAACACUUUCCUCGUCCAGUACACUGACAGACAGAGAAAAUCUGACCACAAUGUCCUUACAGUCCACCAGUUCAAGCAACACCAGCACCACCGUCCCCACCCUUAAAACCAGCACCAACGCCAGCACCGCCAUCAUACCCAGCUCCGCCAUCAUACCCAGCACCGCCAUCUUACCCAGCACCACCAUCAUACCCAGCACCGCCAUGAUACCCAGCACCGCCAUCAUACCCAGCACCAACACCAUUACAGCUGUGGGAGGAAUAGCUGCAGGAACAGUAUUACUGCUGAUUGUUGUCGCUGGGUCAGCGGCAGGAAUAUUUAUCUUGUGUAGACGACAAGAUGUCAGCAGCACAGCGGUGGAGAUGAGACAGCCCCCCGGCUCGGAUCAACCCCUGUUAGACACACACACUGCAACCUUACUUACCAGCUGCCCAGACUCUGCCCAAAAUCCCAAAACAGACCCAUUAAUUGUUGUUCAGCAGGCAUAAUCCGUUGGACGUCUUUUUUUUUUUUUGUGAAUGCUUUUGCCAUGUAUAUGUGUGUGUGUGUGUAUAUAUAUAUGUAUAUGUCUGUAUGUAUAUACAAAAAUACAGUUGUAUGUUUUUCAUAAACAUAAAACUAAAUAAUAAAGUUAAGUUCUUGUAAAGUUCA